rnacentral:rRNA from 1 species
UACAUGGGGUGCAAACGUUGCUCGGAAUUACUGGGCGUAAAGCGCACGUAGGCGGACUGUUAAGUCGGGGGUGAAAUCCUGGGGCUCAACCUCAGAAUUGCCUCCGAUACUGGCAGUCUCGAGUGCGGGAGAGGUGAGUGGAAUUCCCAGUGUAGAGGUGAAAUUCGUAGAUAUUGGGAAGAACACCAGUGGCGAAAGGCGGCUCACUGGCCCGUAACUGACGCUGAGGUGCGAAAGCGUGGGGAGCAAACAGG